rnacentral:rRNA from 1 species
GACGAACGCUGGCGGCGUGCUUAACACAUGCAAGUCGAACGAGAGCGUAGAGAAAGCUUGCUUUUUCUACAAUCUAGUGGCAAACGGGUGAGUAACGCGUAAACAACCUGCCCUACGGAUGGGGACAACAGCUGGAAACGGCUGCUAAUACCGAAUACGUUCCGAAAGUCGCAUGACUAUCGGAAGAAAGGAUGGCCUCUAUUUAUAAGCUAUCGCCGGAGGAGGGGUUUGCGUCUGAUUAGCUAGUUGGAGGGGUAACGGCCCACCAAGGCGACGAUCAGUAGCCGGUCUGAGAGGAUGAACGGCCACAUUGGAACUGAGACACGGUCCAGACUCCUACGGGAGGCAGCAGUGGGGAAUCUUCCGCAAUGGGCGAAAGCCUGACGGAGCAACGCCGCGUGAGUGAAGACGGCCUUCGGGUUGUAAAGCUCUGUUAUACGGGACGAAUAAUCUUGUGGUUAAUACCCAUGAGAAGUGACGGUACCAUAAGAGAAAGCCACGGCUAACUACGUG